GACGAACCGUGCGAACGUUAUUCGGAAUCAUUGGGCUUAAAGCGCGUGUAGGCGGAUGGGAACGUCGAUGUUGAAAAGCCCCCCGGCUCAACCGGGGAACUGGCGUCGAAACGACCCGUCUCGAGGGGCAUAGGGGGAGCUGGAACUUCCGGUGGAGCGGUGAAAUGCGUUGAGAUCGGAAGGAACGCCCGUGGCGAAAGCGAGCUCCUGGAUGUCUUCUGACGCUGAGACGCGAAAAGCUAGGGUAGCGAACGGG
rnacentral:rRNA from 1 species